GCUCCACUGUGGCUAUUUUUCCUCUCAGAAAAGGGGUAUCCUUUUGAGGUGAACACUAGACGUUUUCCUUCCGACGAGAGCGCCUCUUGUGGGUGUGUUGGUGUUUACUCCGCACAGUCAUUUGUAGCCAGAUCUUACGCUCCGCCCUAAAAUCCUCGUUUUUUCGUAGUGUUCCCCGCAAGAGGGUACCCCUUUUCUGAGACGAAAAAUAGCCAUAGUGAAGCAACCAGGGGUCUAUGAUUGUGGAUAUUUUAAUCGAAAUUUAUUCGUAUUCAUGAAUAAAACGUCCUUUUUAUUCGUUAUUCAUAUUCGUUUAUAAAAUGAAUCAAGUUUUUCCUUAUUCGACAGAACACUGACAUUUGGACAUGAGCCAAAUAACAGAGAAACGCUGAGUUGUCACUGAAACAAAGGAGAAAUAUUAACAGAGUUGAAUGAUUUUUCGCUUACCUACAAUGUCUUCCAAAUGACACAUAUGCACAUGGCGCCACAUGAAAUUCAUUUUUCAUUCAUCGAGUAGUGGAUGCCGAAGGGAGAGGGUGGAUAAGUAAAUAAUAGUUUAAGGAAACAAGGGACCAUAUAAUUUUCAAUUAAACGAAGAAAUUCCUCUUAAACUUUUGGUUCCGUAACCACUCUCAAUGUAUGGUAAAUCGAACCGGGACCAGCCUAUUUGAAACUUGGACCAAGAAGUAUUGUGAUUGGAGGUGGAGGAGGAAGGUAAUCUGAAUCGACGGCCGUUGAAAAAAAGAGGGAUCGAAUAGCUGGAAAAAAGCAUUGACUAAAGCACAUCCACUGUAAAUUCUACAUCAAAAUGAACCACAAACACA